GCCGAAGUGGCGGAAUUGGCAGACGCGGCGGUCUCAAAAACCGUUGGGCUUUGCUCAUGCCGGUUCGACUCCGGCCUUCGGCACCA
rnacentral:tRNA from 1 species